rnacentral:rRNA from 1 species
UAAUACGUAGGCAGCGAGCGUUGUUCGGAGUUACUGGGCGUAAAGGGUGUGUAGGCGGUUUUCUAAGUUUGGUGUGAAAUCUCCCGGCUCAACCGGGAGGGUGCGCCGAAAACUGGGAGACUAGAGUGCGGGAUGGGAGAGUAGAAUUCCUGGUGUAGCGGUGAAAUGCGUAGAUAUCAGGAGGAAUACCGGUGGUGUAGACGGCUCUCUGGACCGCCACUGACGCUGAGACACGAAAGCGUGGGUAGCAAACAGGAUUAGAUACCCUGGUAGUCCACGCCCUAAACGAUGCAUAUUUGGUGUAGGUCAUUCAGUUGAUCUGUGCCGGAGCUAACGCGUUAAAUAUGCCGCCUGGGGAGUACAGUCGCAAGGCUG